CGCGUAGGCGGCGUGACAAGUCACUUGUGAAAUCUCCGGGCUUAACUCGGAACGGCCAAGUGAAACUGUCAUGCUGGAGUGCAGAAGGGGCAAUCGGAAUUCUUGGUGUAGCGGUGAAAUGCGUAGAUAUCAAGAGGAACACCUGAGGUGAAGACGGGUUGCUGGGCUGACACUGACGCUGAGGCGCGAAAGCCAGGGGAGCAAACG
rnacentral:rRNA from 1 species